CAUGGAUGCUAUUCUGUGUUCCUCCCUCUUUCCUUCCAAAGGCCACGACAGGAAGAGAAGCUGCCAACACCAGAUGACCAACUCCUUUCCAGUUACAGACCACCCCAGUGAUGAGACCUCCAUAUGUUGUCUGAUGGCCGCAGUUCCUCAGCAAAUGGGAAGAAGAGAAUAAUGAGAUGAUGAUGCAGAGCACUGGCAGAAUGUCUAGCAUAGAAGAAUCUGAGGAUUCGCCAUGCAUGCUUCCUGGUAUGUAGUACUAGUUCUUGUCAAUGACACAGAGACUUGAAGACUGUAUAUAAAUGGACACACCUACUAGAAUGUAAGCUUCAUAUACAAAAGGAUUUUUAAAAAUCUGUUUUGCUUAUUUCUACAUCCCCAGGGCCUAGUGCAGUCCCUGGCACAUGGUAGGCCACAGGCCCUUAGUAAAUGUGUUGAAUGAAUAUGUGGAUUUAAUAUUUCCCUGACUUCUUACUCUUCUUAGGUCAUGUGCUAAGUCAUCGGUCCAUUUUAAAAAUAUAAAUGCAAAUAGACUUAUAAGCUGAUUAUUUCUAAUUUAUAUGUGUUGAAUUUAUUUUCCUAAUAACUGAAAAGAUUAAAAAGCAGGAGGAUGCUUCAUAGCUGACAAAACUUCAUUGCCAUAGUCAUUUGAGUCGCAGCCUGGGAGAAAAAUGUAUUCUUCUUCUAGGUUGAUUUUCUAAGAUCACUAUCAGAAGGCCAGGCUACUUCAGGAAUCAGUGCUUCAAAUCAAAAUUAAAAACACAUGCAUUUAUGUGAUACCUCUUGAGAAUGCAAGCUGCUGUACAAACACAUUUAAAGCAUUAAGUGCUCCCUGACGCCCUUUCCUCAGAAGUAGUACUUCCAGAAAGGAGAGUGCAUUUAGGUAAAACCAACGGCAGCUUCUAUACGAUGAUGUCAACAUGGCUCAACCUCUGAGUGCCAGAAUUUGCUUCUCAUUAGAUACAACUUUUCUGGAAAUAUAAGAGAAGGUAAGUUGAUUUCCAAGUGAAUUCAAGCCUAUUGGAGUAUUAUAUUACAGAACCUUUCAAUAGGAGGAGCUUUCAGGAGCUUUCAGGAGGCUUGUGGUUUCAGUAUUGGUGGCCUGUAGGGGUCAGUUGUGUUUUUUGUUUGCUCAGCAUCCAUUCCUCCUACUUCUAGUAACUAAACUUGAAUUU
ensembl:lncRNA